CUUGCUCCCUGGCGACGAGUGGCGGACGGGUGAGUAAUGCGUGGGAAUUUACCCAAAAGCGGGGGAUAACCCGGGGAAACUCGGGCUAAUACCGCAUACCCUCUACGGAGGAAAGCUGGGGACCCUUCGGGGCCUGGCGCUUUUGGAGGAGCCCACGUCCGAUUAGCUUGUUGGUGAGGUAAGAGCUCACCAAGGCGACGAUCGGUAGCUGGUCUGAGAGGACGAUCAGCCACACCGGAACUGAGACACGGUCCGGACUCCUACGGGAGGCAGCAGUGGGGAAUAUUGGACAAUGGGGGAAACCCUGAUCCAGCAAUGCCGCGUGUGUGAAGAAGGCCUGCGGGUUGUAAAGCACUUUCGGCCGGGAAGAAAAGCGGCGGGUUAAUAACCCGAUCGUCUUGACGUUACCGGCAGAAGAAGCACCGGCUAACUCCGUGCCAGCAGCCGCGGUAAUACGGAGGGUGCAAGCGUUAAUCGGAAUUACUGGGCGUAAAGCGCGCGUAGGUGGUUUGGUAAGUCGGGUGUGAAAGCCCCGGGCUCAACCUGGGAAUUGCAUUCGAUACUGCCUGACUAGAGUGUGGUAGAGGGAAGUGGAAUUCCGCAUGUAGCGGUGAAAUGCGUAGAGAUGCGGAGGAACACCAAUGGCGAAGGCAACUUCCUGGACCAACACUGACACUGAGGUGCGAAAGCGUGGGUAGCAAACAGGAUUAGAUACCCUGGUAGUCCACGCCG
rnacentral:rRNA from 1 species